ensembl:lncRNA
AAAAUGAAGACUUUGAUCCUCCACAUUUCAUUUAUUGACAACCCAGGCAAAAUGCAUUUCCUUUGCAAUGUGUUAACAGGUGAAACAACUCUCCCUGCUGAAUUUAAACUUUAUUAACUGAGCUAAGCACACACAUUUUACUGCAUAUUAAGCAUUAUUUGUGCUAUAAACUGUGCUCCUUUAUUGAUCGAGGUCAAAAUUUCUACAUCAGCUUAUUCACUACUCAUCACUCAGUACUUAAUCACAGUCAGUUCCUACCUCAGUAACAUAUAACAUUAAUUAUUGUUAUACAGAGCACACAGCAUAUAGCAAAUAGAGUAUCUAUUACUGACAUAACGUAAGUGUGCAAUAGAUUUUAAGCUCAUAUGCUUGAUCUCUGAUAGUCAUAUUGCAUCCACGAUCACCUAUUUAAUAGCCAGACUUAUCAGUUAACAUAAAUACUUACUGGUCAACAUAACAUUGAAAUCAAUAACAACUUAAUAAAUCCAUAUAGCUGUCCACCAUGACAUAAACUUUAAAACAGAGAUGCAGCUUAAAAGAGAGACUUAAACUGUGCUUCAACAAAACUGCAAUCAAGAACACAUCCAACUUUUAUUGUGAGUACUGUAGAUGUUGGAGUCACGACUUGGAAAUAAUAUGUACAUAAUGAAAGGAUAACGAAAACUAAAAUACCUGUUUGUGAUGUUAAAAUUUCUUAAAUGGGCUCUAAUACAAUAGGUUUGCCAGUGCAGUAAUAAGACUUAGGAUACAGACUUCACCUCAGUGUGUGUCUCUGCCCCCUGUGUGUACUGUGAGGACACCUCUUCCAGCUCAGCUCUCUCCUGUACAACAAUAGCAGCCAACUCCCCAGGCUGGCAGGAAAUCUGCUGAGCUUGGAAGAGUUUGGCUCGGGUUCAGAAUCAGUCAGGUCUGAGUCCCAGUCGCUAUCUCCUCCUACAGCAGAGGCCAGAACAAAGUCUGCCUUAGAACCGCUGUCCUCUGAUUCAGAAUCUUUUGAGUCAUAUAACGAAUGUCCCUCUGCAACCAGCAGGUGGCAGUCAGGAGCAGCCAGGUAAACAAAACUGUCUGUAGAGAGGAAGUCACAUUCAUCAGGGUAAGGGCAAGGUUUGGCGAAGGAAGUAGGAGGCAACGGCUCCUCCAGUGGAGGUUUGGUCAUGCUUUCCUGUGUGGUUUGGGGCAGCACUGCCACUGCCAGGUAGACAAAACUAUCUGUGGCAAUGAAUGGAUCUGCAUCACUCUUGACUAAUAGUGUUUCUUUAGCUUCAUGUUUGGAGGGGGACAGCGGUAAAGGCACAUCAGUCUGUGAUGUGUUCACAGUGUUAAGAAUCUCUAGGGUUUGAGAUCCAGUGUCCACAGGUUUCAAGCGUGCUUGUAUUUCUGUAGCUCUGGUUGUAAUCUCUUUACAAAAUGCUUGCCUUCCUAGCUCUAUGCUAUUAGCUCUCAGCCCAGGGGGAUCUUUUUGGUUGAAAGUUGUCAAUUUAUUUGCUUUUGGAAUCGAAGAGUAUGUCCCAGUCUUUCUGAUGUCGACUUUUCCCUCUUCCCCUUGACUAAGAGAUGUAAUGCUUCCAAGAUCUGACAUAGUGAUGUCCUCUCUACUGGUUUGGCUGGGAUUUGACAUGUAGACACCACUUGAAUCUGAGUCUAGUGUCAGGUUGGAAUCGGGUGACUCGCUAUGGCCGUAUUUGUUUCCCAUUUGGGCGUCAAUGAUGGUGAGAUCUAAACAGGUUGGGACCUUAUCAUGAGCGAGUUUAAGGCUCCCUGGCUGAGUCACAAUAAUAUUAUUUUGACCUUUGCAUGUGUGUAAAUUGUACUGAAAUUGUGGUUCAUCAUCAUCUUGGCUUCCCACAACCUCUCGGUCCAUUCUCUCAAUCUCCAACAUAUCUUCAGCACCCAGUUCUGAGCUUGUACCUGACGGAGCUUGUGAGCCACCAAACCCCGAUGGAGGAUGUAAAAGAGGCCAGCGCCUUAGGGAGCCAACACUUUGCAAAUCUUCAUUCCACGUCUCAUCCCAAAGCAAAUUAACCAUCUCUAACACAGCUUCCCAGUUCUCUUCCUCACAUUCAGGAGUGGUAUUUUCAUCAGUGCAUGGCUCAACGCUCUCCUGUAUGAACACAAUUUUGCUCUCUUCUUCUAAAUCUUCCUCAAUCACACUCUCAAUUCUGCAUGCUUCUGGUUUACGUUCCUCUUGCUCCCGCAAGAGCUUCCAUUCCUGUAGUGAGCAAUCCUUCAAAUCUCUUGUUAACAUAGACUUGCUGAGCUGUCCAUCCACAUUCCCUUGGUGCUCUGGGAAUGGUGAAAGACGAGGAAUGGUCUUUUUGUCAGAGACACUCCGGAUUAGCAGAGAGGGUAGUGGGGGAAGAAUCGGGAGGUUAUGAACAGCACCACCUUGUCUUACCGUCCUCCUCCUUCCAAUAAGUCGCCGGGGCCAGGUAGACUCCAUUGGUGUAGGGGAGAUGGCAGGUCUUUUUGACGUUUGGGAGCGCAGAAGGGGCGUAGUGUCUGUUUCAGCUUCAGGGGUGGUUGGUGGUGGUUCUUUCUCAGGCUCAAUGUUCGGGGGUUUAAAAGUCAGAAACAGGUUAUCUUUUGACAUGCCCCCAUUGUCCCUCAUACCUUGGCCAAUCUCUAGUUUGUCUUGGUCUCCUUGACCACUCAUCAGGGCACUUACUGAUAACUCUGACAUAGGUGGUCUCGGUGAAGAUGGUUGGAUUGGUAAAGAUUGCCUGUUGAACUGCUGAUGGUAGGGCAAUGGAGAGGGAGAGAAGAACACAGAAGGUGUAUGCGUUCCAGUGGAAAAAGGGGACCCAGAGAAGGGUGAAAUCUGAGGGGUGGUGAAGCUGUUUGGAAAGAAGGCAACUCCUGGGUUUAAGUAGGUCUUUUCCCCUAGGGAGAGUUCGAAUGUUUCUGGGAACUUUGGUGGAGCCAAAACCUUCCAGGAGUGGCGGCAGAGGUUGUCCUUCUUACUACUGUCCUGGUGAUGAUGCCGCUUGUUCAUGGAUCCACUUGGAGCAGAGUUGCAGGAUACGCUGGGGGAUGCCGACCUCACAAACCCUCUUGGUGACUUGCUCAAUUCAUCAUUUGCUAAUUUCAGAGAAUCAAAAAUGAACCUCUCAUCCAGUUUUCUGCCACUGCUGCCUAGCACAGAAGACCUUGUGUCAAACAUGUCUCCACCUGCUCCCAGGGAACCAUUACUGGAAAAGUCAGUUUCUCGACCCCUUCUUGAACCCAGAGUGCUGUGUGCCGAACUGUGGUCGAUCUGUUCAUUGAUGCACAUUGUGUCAUAAAUGGAGCGUUGAGGGAUGUACCCAUCUUCAUUGUAGCCCUCUCUGUCAUCACCUUUUUUUGAACAACAAGGGCUCUGCCGUAAGCAGCCCGGUCGACUUAAUGGCUUUCCCAUUGUGUCAGUUCUUGACGAUGGCCUCCUACACGACCUCCAAUACAAUACUCCAGAAGUCUAAAGCAUGAUGUUGCCAGAGCAUGUGUACCAGAUCUUCUUAGAAAUUAUUGGAGAUAGACAUUUUUGAUUUAAUCAAAAACUGAAAAUACUUUAUUAAACUAACUGAUCUUCUGGUGUCUGCAAGUGGUUAGAUACUCAAGAAAUGGCUUCAGUAUCUCCACUGGAAAUAAAAAUUCAAAAAUAAAACAUGCUUCCCUUAAUAGUUAAUGCAUAGUUUGACGGCAAAAUCAAGUGGGAAGGAAGCAACUUUGUGAGUCAGCGUUACAUAUCCACAUAAACAGAUUAGCUUUUCAUUCACAGACUGACAUUAAAAAAAGCUGUAUGUCUGUCUAUCCCCUCCAUUUAGCCAGAUAUAAGUAGUUCUGUUCCAAAUUUAGAGCUCCCAAUCUCCUGAGGCAGCAUCUUUACACUUCAAAAAUGCACAGUAUUAGAGCAAAAACUCACUUCUCUUCAAAUGUGACAUAAUACUUCUCCAUAGUCUCUUUGCAUUGCCCCUCUUCAUGUUGUUAAUCACUGACGUAACUAGCAAUCAAAGCACUGCAGGAUGACAGAUGGUCGGUCCAAGUCUCUUGUGUGCCGGUGGUCCAGGUGUGAAAAGUGUACAGGAAUCCAGGUAUCCAGUCUGUUUUCCAGCAUUAUCUUGCAGCACUCAGACACUUGUCCUUCGUCAUACAGAAACACAGUUGGUUUGAUAAAUAGCCUCUUAUUUCAACACCAACGGCAGCUCUUUCUCUCCCUCCUCUUCUCUUACUGCCUCACUAUCACUCUCUCAGCUCCCUCCCCUGAGUUCUGAGGCUGCUUCAGGGCUUUAGCACUUAUCAGGAGCUUAGGACUUUUUUCUGCCUCACUCAUUUCAUUUCCUUUCAGUCACUUUUAUCUCAAUUUUGUUUGACCUCUAAUAAGAUGACUUAGAUUUUUCAUCAGAUGUUAUCUGCAUUUGUCAAUAUCCUUGUCUUAUGUGUGUAAAUAAAAACCUUAUUUAAAUUAAAUGGUUAGCACAAAUUGAGCCAACAGCAUGGCUUUUAAGAAAGCAAAGUUUGACAUUGUGCAUUUUUCAAACGACGAUUCAGUCAUGCACUGCCAGAUUGUCUGUCUUUGUUGUACUUCUCUCUCCCACACACUCUCCUCUCAUUCUCGAACCCUCUCGAAUCACACCUCAUCUGCCCGGAGCACGCCCACACACUCUUUUUGAACAGGCA